rnacentral:rRNA from 1 species
GAUGAACGCUGGCGGCGUGCCUAAUACAUGCAAGUCGAGCGAAUGGACUAAGAGCUUGCUCUUAUGAAGUUAGCGGCGGACGGGUGAGUAACACGUGGGUAACCUGCCCAUACGACUGGGAUAACUCCGGGAAACAGGGGCUAAGACCGGAUAACAUUUUGAACCGCAUGGUUCGAAAUUGAAAGGCGACUUCGGCUGUCACUUAUGGAUGGACCCGCGUCACAUUAGCUAGUUGGUGAGGUAACGGCUCACCAAGGCAACGAUGCGUAGCCGACCUGAGAGGGUGAUCGGCCACACUGGGACUGAGACACGGCCCAGACUCCUACGGGAGGCAGCAGUAGGGAAUCUUCCGCAAUGGACGAAAGUCUGACGGAGCAACGCCGCGUGAGUGAUGAAGGCUUUCGGGUCGUAAAACUCUGUUGUUAGGGAAGAACAAGUGCUAGUUGAAUAAGCUGGCACCUUGACGGUACCUAACCAGAAAGCCACGGCUAACUACGUGCCAGCCGCCGCAGUAA